rnacentral:rRNA from 1 species
CCUACGGGAGGCAGCAGUGGGGAAUAUUGCGCAAUGGGCGAAAGCCUGACGCAGCGACGCCGCGUGAGGGAUGAAGGUCUUCUGAUCGUAAACCUCUGUCAGCAGGGAAGAACGGUCACUGUGCUAAUCAGUAGUGAAUUGACGGUACCUGCAAAGGAAGCACCGGCUAACUCCGUGCCAGCAGCUGCGGUAAUACGGCGGGUGCGAGCGUUAAUCGGAAUUACUGGGCGUAAAGCGCUCGUAGGCGGUAUGUCAAAUCAAGGGUGAAAGCCCCGCGCUCAAGGUGGGGACUGCCUUUGAAACUGGCAAGCUGGAGUGUGUGAGAGGAUAGUGGAAUUCGAGGUGUAGGAGUGAAAUCCGUAGAUAUCUGGAGGAACAUCAGUGGCGAGGGCGACUAUCUGGCACAUAACUGACGCUGAGGAGCGAAAGCGUGGGUAGCAAACAGGAUUAGAUACCCGUGUAGUC